GUAGUGGAGCACACAACAUAGAAGCUGGGGAGACUGGUGAACACACUUGCUGUUCCAUAAGGACCCAGUUUGGGCCUUCCCCAUUCACAAAGGUAUCAUACCAGAUAGUUAGUUUGUGGAUGUUGGCUGCCCAGUAAUAAUACAAAAGGUUUGGCAGUGCUUGACCACCAUUGCGUACAUGUUGCUCUAGUGAUAAUUAUAUAAUGUUGUUUAUUCUCUAUAUUUGGUGUGGAGAGACUGGUGUGCAGUCGUGGACCCAUGGCUAAGGAAGGUGACAGAGAAGGGGGGGGAUUAUGUGACUAUUUCGAUAUGGCUUAUCUGAAAGGUUGGUGGAUAAGUAAAGUCAUCCUGUGGACGGAUUGUGUUGAUUUGCUUAUGAAAUAUAAUUAUUUACUAUUACAAACUAGUUGAGAAAAUGGACACUGAUGACUUCGGGAAGGCAGAGGAGUUUGUGCAGCUAAUGCUCAGUCCGAUCUCUCCACAUGUUACCGGGUACCAUGACUGACAUUUAUUCAUUCACCAUGAAUAUGGCCCAUAUGGAUGUCUCUUCAUUUUUCCUUUAUUAAAUUAAGGAUGAUGAGGUCCAGACCUUCCUGGAGGGACGCCACAGUGAUGGACCUGAGAUUCAAGUUCAAAAUGGAUAAAGAUGCCAUCUUGGACAGGUUGAGUGCUGCAGCAGUAGCGAUGAAUACAGCGGUGGCAGAAGAGCUAUCAGAGCAAGAUGGUGUGAUGAUGAAGAAGAAGGGGAGGAAGAAGAAGACUAUACUCUACCCUUAAAGCAACACAACGCCUUGGAGGAACUGUUAGCAGCGGAGAACCUCAAGCUACAAGUCCAGAUCUGCAGAGGUCUGCUUCCAAUCCCUGUAUCAGCUGACCCUGCUCUCUGGUGGUGGCAGAAGAGAGACACACUGCCCCUGUUGUCAGAUCUUGCCCAAACCUGUUAGUGUGUUUAGGCGUCCUCCUUCCCAUCUUCCACAGCCGGAGACACCAUUAGCUCAGAGAGAUCUAGGAUCCUCUCAGAGAAAGCAAAUAUGCUAAUUUUUCUGCAGAACAAUUUUUGAUUUUAUGUGCCAGUUUUACAUUUGAUUCAAGCUUAUUCCCUUUUGAAAAUGAGUGUUGUAAUUUAUUCAAAUGCUACUAGACAUUCAUGCCUAUUUCUCUAAAGAAUAAUUGUUUAUCUUAUCAGUUUUAUAUUUGUUUUCCAAGUAAUGUCCUUUUAAGGAAAGGAGCAUUGUAAUUUGUUUUAACAUGUUCAAAUGUUCAGACUGAAGUUGUGUGUAGUUUCUGGUCUUGCCGUAAUCUACAUUGAGGGCACUGACCUGUAGGCAGUAUUCUGUUUCUGCUUUCAGAGUCAGGGUGCGCUCUGUAGCCUGAAUGUCCUCCUUCUGUUUCUAGAGGGAAGCAGAGACAGUAGAGGGCAGUAAUGGGUUACUGAGGGAACUUGGGGGGUGAACUGGUUCCAACUGAGAAUAAUAAAACAGUUGCGUUGACGCUGAAUACCUGUAUAGGCCUAUUUGUUUCCACACAGAAAAUUGAUCGAGAAU